rnacentral:lncRNA from 1 species
CCCUUCCACAUUUAAGUGGGACUUUUCUGUUUGGAACAGAAACAGUUCCUACAGAAGUUGGCAAAUCCCACAAUACAAAGUAAAAAAUUUUCCUGUUCCUAUAAAAAAGGGCAAAUCUAACAAUACAAAGUAAAACAAAACGUGCCUGUACAAACAUAAGUAGGCAAGUCCCACAAAACUUUUCUGUUCCUAAAGAAGCAAGGCCCACUAUACCGAGUCACACAAAAUUAAGCUAUACAAAUAUAAGUAAGAAAGACCUGUUCAUAUAUAAGAAAAAUAAUCCCACAAUACCAAGUCCCACAGUAUUUUCCUACCCCACAAUACAAAGUCACACAAAAUGUUCCUAUACAAACAUAAGUAGGCAAGUCAUAUUCAUUAAUAAGAAG